rnacentral:rRNA from 1 species
CGAGGAAUUUUCCGCAAUGGGCGAAAGCCUGACGGAGCAACGCCGCGUGGGGGAAGAAGGCCUUCGGGUUGUAAACCCCUGUUGCGAGGGAAGAAGAUCUGACGGUACCUCGCGAGGAAGCCACGGCUAACUACGUGCCAGCAGCCGCGGUAAUACGUAGGUGGCAAGCGUUGUCCGGAUUUACUGGGCGUAAAGCGCGCGCAGGCGGACUGGUCAGUCUGGGGUGAAAUCUCACGGCUCAACCGUGAGAGGUCCCUGGAUACUGCUAGUCUUGAGGGGCUCAGAGGAGAGUGGAAUUCCGGGUGUAGUGGUGGAAUGCGUAGAUAUCCGGAGGAACACCAGUGGCGAAAGCGGCUCUCUGGGGGCAACCUGACGCUGAGGCGCGAAAGCGUGGGGAGCGAACCGGAUUAGAUACCCGGGUAGUCCACGCCGUAAACGAUGAGUACUAGUUGUCGGGGGUAUCGACCCCCUCGGUAACGAAGCUAACGCGAUAAGUACUCCGCCUGGGGACUACGACCGC